GACCUUCAGGGUAUAGUGCUCCAUAUGUUUUAGGAGAGGGUUUUUUUUGUGUUGCUUUAGUGAGAAUGUGGGAGAGGGUUUUAGAAAACUUUCUAGCUCAGCUUUCUUGGGUUACUUUUUCCAUGAAAGGUAACAGAUGCUCACUGUGACGUGAACGUUAUUUCCAUGCUUACAGAGAAGAAAUAAGGAUCAGUGUGAUCGAGACUUAAAGGUGCUUUGAGGAACUUCCCAAAUUUACCCACCAUGCGUCACUCAGUUGAAUCAUUCCUCCAGGGUAGGAGGAGGCUUCCUAAUGUGUCGCGAUAUCUGUAAGGGAUACGGAUACCCAUUUCUGCUUGGUCCCCAUACUGUUAUUUCCUAGAAGCUAAAUAUCUGUCUAUGCCCUAUUCUUUGCAUUCUUCCCUACAUACCCACUGCCAGCUACUGUCAGACCCAAAAUACUGCACUGCUUGGACAUUUGGUCUUAUGUAAUAUGGCAUUUAUGUUCUUAUGAAGUUUGGGAGGUUUCCUGUUUUUCAUUAUGGUCUCCACUGAGCAGGCAACAUGCAAAAUGAUCCCAGCAAAUUUGGUGGGUUUGCUGAAUGUCUCUUAAAUGCUUUCUCCUACAUGCAGUCCUGCCUUCAGUGAGGCUGACAGUUGACUGAGCUCUGUACCACCCACCCAAAAGGUCUUUACCUUUCGUAUGUUGCAUGUUCACCAUAAGGCUACUAGUCCCACUAGUGUAAGUAGGGGUUGUGCAAGUGAACCUUGUCAGACCCUGAAAUCCUGAUUGUUUUUAAUGGCCAAAGGAGCUGCUGCAAUAAGAACCUGAUCUUCCAUGUAAGACGGGCCUCAAAAUUUCUUCUGCUAGUUGUUGCUUCUAUCCCAGCCACUUUUAGUUGUGGUUGAGAAGGCAUGUGGAUACCUCCUCAGCAAUGGCCAGAAGGGUUGAUAUGGGCCUUUAUCACAGAAAAGGGUAGUGAAGGGAAGAGGCAUGCAGUGAAGCUGAAGUGAUGCAGCAAUGGCCUUUUGACAGAGAUGUGGUUUUCAGAAUGUCUCCUAUUUCUGGCAGAAGAUGUCAGGGCAAAUGAAUCCUGGAAGCCCUCAAGUGCAAGUCUGGAUAUGUUCUGUCUCCAUUUACCAGCUCUGCUGAAGGAGAAAUGACUGCCAUGCCACUGUCCCAUCACUCAGCAGCUAUCUCGCAAACUCUCCCUUACAUCAGCACUGCAGCUGCCUUGCGUGCUAUCUGUUGACUAUUUUCUUUUCCUCAACCUUUAUGCCCUGAACUGAUCAGUUUUUAGACUUUACAGGGUAAGUGUCAGACAUCCCAUUGAGAACUGAACACUGAUGAAAAAAUGCUGGAAAGCUGAUGGAAAUUGCUAGAAAGCAGCAUUAUUUAUCCACUGGAAAAGAAUACUACAUCCAUUGUCAGAGCAAGCACCACAUCUCCUGGCUC